rnacentral:tRNA from 1 species
GCGCCCAUAGCUCAGCUGGUAGAGCACUCGCCUCUUAAGCGAUUGGUCAUUGGUUCGAAUCCAAUUGGGCGCA